CCUACGGGAGGCAGCAGUGAGGAAUAUUGGUCAAUGGGCUUACGCCUGAACCAGCGAAGCCGCGUGAGGGAAGAAUGCCCUAUGGGUUGUAAACCUCUUUAGUCAGGGAGCAAUUGGCGCUACGUGUAGCGUUAUCGAGAGUACCUGAAGAAAAAGCAUCGGCUAACUUCGUGCAAGCAGCCGCGGUAAUACGAGGGAUGCGAGCGUUAUCCGGAUGUAUUGGGUUUAAAGGGUGCCUAGGCGGAAUGCCAAGUUAGCGGGAAAAUCGCGGGGCUAAACCUCGGACGGCCGUUGAAACUGGCGUGCUUGAGUGGGCGAGAGGUAUGCGGAAUGCGUGGUGUAGCGGUGAAAUGCAUAGAUAUCAGGCAGAACUCCGGUUGCGAAGGCAGCAUACCGGCGCCCAACUGACGCUGAGGCACGAAAGCGUGGGGAUCGAACAGGAUUAGAUACCCUUGUAGUC
rnacentral:rRNA from 1 species